rnacentral:rRNA from 1 species
GACGAACGCUGGCGGCGUGCCUAACACAUGCAAGUCGAGCGAACGGACGAGCAUUUUGUUGCGCUGUUGUGAGACGCGGAUGGGUGAGUAACGCGUGGAACACCUACCUAUAAGACUGGGAUAACUUCGGGACACCGGAGCUUAUGCCGGAUAAUCUUUUGAACCGCAUGGUUCAAAAGUGAAAGACGGUCUUGCUGGCACUUAUAGAGGGAUCCGCGCUGGAGUAGCUAGUUGGUAAGGUAACGGCUUACCAAGGCAACGAUGCAUAGCCGACCUGAGAGGGUGGUCGGCGACACUGGAACUGGGACACGGUCCAGGCUCCGACGGGAGGCAGCGGUAGGGAAUCGUCCGCAAUGGGCGAGAGCCUGACGGAGCAGCGGCGCGUGAGUGAUGGAGAUCUCGGGAUCGUGAAACUCUGUUACUAGGGAAGAACAUAUGUGUAAGUAGCUGUACACAUCGUGACGGUACCUGAUCAGAAAGCCACGGCUAACUACGUG